ACUCUUCACAUGCCCAGGUUCAGAGACAAUCUGAAUGUCUAGGACAACUUGAGCAGGUGUGAAGAAAUGAGACUUUCUGUUCUUUUCCAAAGCACCCCUGCACAGGAAAAGACAUCAAUUCAAUACUGGAAUGGCCAACAUGGAGAUAAGAAGACAAUUUUCUUCCCCACGGUUUCAGUAUAAAAGGAUUUAUGCAGUCCUCAUUGAGGAUUGGCCUGAGUCUUUCUUGAAUGUGAUUUUAUGGCUUGUUUGCUUUUUUGCAUUGCUCAGUGGAUGUUGGUGAUAAGGUUGCACUUUCUGAGUGGUUAGAUUUGUU